UGGUUUCAAUGCCGGAUGAUUCCAGCUAUAGACUAAUUUUGAUCUAGGCAAGAAGAACAAAAUCCAUAUUUGGGCCGAAAGUGGUGCAUUUUCCCGCGCGUGAUAGAAAUUACAGUCAAUUUCAGCUGACUUUUCAUCGUAAGAUUCCGAACUUCGUUCCGAACUUCGCAAAUUCGUUGCCAAGUUCAAAAGUUCAUAAUGAAAUUCACAAACAUUUGAUUGGCUGGUUUGAUUUAAUAGCCAAUCAGAGGCUUUGUUUACAAACCUGUUUGUGAAUGUCAUUAUGAACUUUUGAACUUGGCAACGAAUUUGCGAAGUUCGGAACGAAGUUCGGAAUCUUACGAUGAAAAGUCAGCUGAAAUUGACUGUAAUACAAAAUUU